AGUGAACGCUGGCGGUAGGCCUAACACAUGCAAGUCGAACGGCAGCACAGUAAGAGCUUGCUCUUACGGGUGGCGAGUGGCGGACGGGUGAGGAAUACAUCGGAAUCUACUUUUUCGUGGGGGAUAACGUAGGGAAACUUACGCUAAUACCGCAUACGACCUACGGGUGAAAGCAGGGGAUCUUCGGACCUUGCGCGAUUGAAUGAGCCGAUGUCGGAUUAGCUAGUUGGCGGGGUAAAGGCCCACCAAGGCGACGAUCCGUAGCUGGUCUGAGAGGAUGAUCAGCCACACUGGAACUGAGACACGGUCCAGACUCCUACGGGAGGCAGCAGUGGGGAAUAUUGGACAAUGGGCGCAAGCCUGCUCCAGCCAUACCGCGUGGGUGAAGAAGACCUUCGGGUUGUAAAGCCCUUUUGUUGGGAAAGAAAAGCAGCAGGUUAAUACCCCGCUGUUCUGACGGUACCCAAAGAAUAAGCACCGGCUAACUUCGUG
rnacentral:rRNA from 1 species